AUAGACCACCUGCCCCAGGGGCCAGACCCCAAAGUAGCUGCCUCCAGCUGCCUCAGGACCCCCUGACAGGAUCAGGCCCCUCGAUGCCUCGCAGCCACCCCCCACCAUGGGCCCCCUGGGCUCUCCUGGCCUCGGUGCUGCUGAUUGAAGCCCGCUGUGGUCCUCAGCUUGGAUUACUACAGCCAUGAGGGCACCUACAUGCAGGCCGUGGUCCAGCCCAACGUGACCCGAAUGACCUCUGUGCUGGCCCACAACAUGUGCACGGAGCAGAUGAUGGCCAUGACCAUCGCUCCACGCCUGUGACUCCGACCUAUGCAAUGAGCAGUUCUUCAACCACAGCCUCCACCUCAAUGUCCCCCCAGAGGCUCCAGCCAAUGCCACCGAUGCCCUGCAGUGCUACAGCUGCCUGGGCCUGAGCCCCGAGAGCAGCUCAGGGGAGAACAUGGACGUGGUCCAGUGCCCCCCAGAUUUCCCCCGGUGCGCCAUCGGGACGGCCAGUGCCACCAUCGACGGGAACUGCACAGCUUCCUCCUUCUACCGCUCCUGCCAGGACAGAAACAGCAUCCGGACCCACAGCAGCCACAAUUGGGAGAGCUCCACCCGUGCUGUCACGACCACCUGCCAUGAAAGUCUCUGCAACGACGGGCCCCAUGAGUCUCUCACCCCACCGCCCUUGUCCCCCCACCCCAGCCUAGGGGAUUGGCACCCUGAGGGGGCCUAGGCUACAUGGGAGAGGAGGUCCUGGCUUGUGGAUGCCCAAUGCCUCUGGGUGAGGAGGCCCAGCUCGAUCCCAUCCACGAUGCCCCAUCCCAGAGCCAGGCACAUCUUGUCCCCAUUAUACCCAGCUCUGAUUCCCACCCCAGAGCCAGCUGCAGCUCAGGGCUAGCUUGCUUGGCAAAUGCCUGCUAGGCCUCUGUCCAUGACUCCUUCCUUUUGCCCAUUAAACUGGACCCCCGGAAAGCUGCACCUGCUUUAUAUCGGGGCAGAGCCUUCCUGGUUGCAUCCCGGUGCAGGACACGGGGAUUAAGGGGAGGAGCCGAGGGCUGCAGGACAGGAGUGUGGGUCCAGAGCAAGGAGGACAAA